UACGGAGGAUCCGAGCGUUAUCCGGAUUUAUUGGGUUUAAAGGGAGCGUAGGUGGAUUGUUAAGUCAGUUGUGAAAGUUUGCGGCUCAACCGUAAAAUUGCAGUUGAAACUGGCAGUCUUGAGUACAGUAGAGGUGGGCGGAAUUCGUGGUGUAGCGGUGAAAUGCUUAGAUAUCACGAAGAACUCCGAUUGCGAAGGCAGCUCACUAGACUGCAACUGACACUGAUGCUCGAAAGCGUGGGGAGCAAACAGG
rnacentral:rRNA from 1 species